CAAGUCGAGCGAGGCGUCCCGCAAGGGACAGUCGAGCGGCGAACGGGUGAGUAACGCGUGGAUAACCUGCCCUGAGGUGUGGAACAACCAGGGGAAACUCUGGCUAAUACCGCAUGAUACCGAGAGGUCAAAGGGGGCUCGCAAGGGCUCUCGCCACAGGAGGGGUCCGCGUCCGAUUAGCUAGUUGGUAGGGUAAUGGCCUACCAAGGCGACGAUCGGUAGCCGGCCUGAGAGGGUGAUCGGCCACACUGGAACUGAGACACGGUCCAGACUCCUACGGGAGGCAGCAGUGGGGAAUUUUGCGCAAUGGGCUAACGCCUGACGCAGCAACGCCGCGUGGAGGAUGAAGGUCUUUGGAUUGUAAACUCCUGUCAGCAGGGAAAAAGCGACUCGGACUCAUACUCCGGGGAGUUGAUUGUACCUGCAGAGGAAGCCCCGGCUAACUCUGUGCCAGCAGCCGCGGUAAUACAGAGGGGGCAAGCGUUAUUCGGAAUUAUUGGGCGUAAAGGGCGCGUAGGCGGCCUGGCAAGUGGAAGGUGAAAUCCCUCGGCUUAACCGAGGAACUGCCUUCCAGACUGCUUGGCUUGAGACCAGGAGAGGUGAGUGGAAUUCCCAGUGUAGCGGUGAAAUGCGUAGAUAUUGGGAGGAACACCAGUGGCGAAGGCGGCUCACUGGACUGGUACUGACGCUGAGGCGCGAAAGCGUGGGGAGCAAACGGGAUUAGAUACCCCGGUAGUCCACGCCGUAAACGAUGAGUGCUUGGUGUAGCGGGUAUCGACCCCUGCUGUGCCGAAGUCAACACAUUAAGCACUCCGCCUGGGGAGUACGGUCGCAAGGCUGAAACUCAAAGGAAUU
rnacentral:rRNA from 1 species